rnacentral:rRNA from 1 species
GAUGAACGCUGGCGGCGUGCCUAACACAUGCAAGUCGAGCGUGAACCCUUAGAAUGAAACUUCGGUCGAAUGAAGAGGGGGAAAGCGGCGGACGGGUGAGUAACGCGUAGGCAACCUGCCCCGUACAGAGGGAUAAGCCUCGGGAAACCGGGAUUAAAACCUCAUAAUACCAUGGUAUCACAUGAUGCAAUGGUCAAAGAUUUAUCGGUAUGGGAUGGGCCUGCGUCUGAUUAGCUGGUUGGUGGGGUAACGGCCUACCAAGGCAACGAUCAGUAGCCGACCUGAGAGGGUAAUCGGCCACAUUGGAACUGAGACACGGUCCAAACUCCUACGGGAGGCAGCAGUGGGGAAUAUUGCACAAUGGGCGAAAGCCUGAUGCAGCAACGCCGCGUGAGCGAAGAAGGCCUUUGGGUCGUAAAGCUCUGUCGGGAAGGAAGAUAAUGACGGUACUUCCCGAGGAAGCCCCGGCUAACUACGUG